rnacentral:rRNA from 1 species
GACGAACGCUGGCGGCGUGCUUAACACAAGCAAGUCGAACGGAAAGGCCCUGCUUUUGUGGGGUGCUCGAGUGGCGAACGGGUGAGUAACACGUGAGUAACCUGCCCUUGACUUUGGGAUAACUUCAGGAAACUGGGGCUAAUACCGGAUAGGAGCUCCUGCUGCAUGGUGGGGGUUGGAAAGUUUCGGCGGUUGGGGAUGGACUCGCGGCUUAUCAGCUUGUUGGUGGGGUAGUGGCUUACCAAGGCUUUGACGGGUAGCCGGCCUGAGAGGGUGACCGGCCACAUUGGGACUGAGAUACGGACCAGACUCGUACAGGAGGCAGCAGUGGGGAAUAUUGCACAAUGAGCGGAAGCCUGAUGCAGCAACGCCGCGUGCGGGAUGACGGCCUUCGGGUUGUAAACAGCUGUCGCCUGUGACGAAGCGUGAGUGACGGUAAUGGGUAAAGAAGCACCGGCUAACUACGUG